GCAAGUUGGCAGGGAAGGCGUUUCAUAUGCUUGGAGUGUGCGAGCCUUGAAGCUAUAUGGAGCAAGCUAUGGUCUUAUAUUCUUGUAAUCUAAAGUCAGCAAUAACAAUGAUGGUUCUGAAUGGUCGCCAUGAAAGAAAUAUGGCUGGGAUUGUCUAUCCUCUUUGUCGCUGCAGCCGCUGUCAACAAAAGCCGUUUCCCUUCGUGCGUCACACGUUGCCGCAAUAGUACAACGCGGUCAUGUCUUCAUUUAAAGAACGGGGAGUGCAAGUGUGGCUGCGUGUCAUUCAACCAGUUAUGCGCACCAUGGAACAGGACGACAUGCCGGCCAUGUGGACCUUAUCCCCACUGCCAUCUGAUAGGCCGCGAAUGUGACUGCUACUGUUG